rnacentral:tRNA from 2 species
CAGCCCGUCGGCCUGGCGGUGCAGAACUUCGUCUCUGCCGCAGUCGGGAUGGCGGUGGCCAUCGCAUUGGUUCGUGGCUUCAUUCGGGUUGCCC